rnacentral:rRNA from 1 species
AUUGAACGCUGGCGGCAUGCUUUACACAUGCAAGUCGAACGGAGUUGGAGCUUGCUCCAAUUUAGUGGCGAACGGGUGAGUAAUAUAUCGGAACGUACCCGGCAAUGGGGGAUAACGUAGCGAAAGUUACGCUAAUACCGCAUAUGCCCUGAGGGGGAAAGCAGGGGACCAGUAAUGGCCUUGCGUUGACGGAGCGGCCGAUAUCAGAUUAGCUAGUUGGUGAGGUAAAGGCUCACCAAGGCGACGAUCUGUAGCGGGUCUGAGAGGAUGAUCCGCCACACUGGGACUGAGACACGGCCCAGACUCCUACGGGAGGCAGCAGUGGGGAAUUUUGGACAAUGGGCGCAAGCCUGAUCCAGCCAUGCCGCGUGAGUGAAGAAGGCCUUCGGGUUGUAAAGCGCUUUUGUCAGGGAGCAAAUCCUUGUGGCUAAUACCCGCCGGGGAUGAGAGUACCUGAAGAAUAAGGACCGGCUAACUACGUGCCAGCAGCCGCGGUAAUAC